CUGGGCGCGGGCCGCCGGGAGAGCGGCUGCGUCCGGGACCGGGACGACGACCUCCAGGUAGCACUUGAGCUUCGGCUCGGUGCCGGACGGCCGGAC
rnacentral:tRNA from 1 species